rnacentral:rRNA from 1 species
CCCUUAGAUGUUCUGGGCCGCACGCGCGCUACACUGAUGCAUUCAACGAGUCUAAACCCUGGUCUGAUAGGGCUGGGUAAUCUUUUGAAAGUGCAUCGUGAUUGGGAUAGAUGAUUGCAAUUCUUCAUCUUCAACGAGGAAUGCCUAGUAAACGCAAGUCAUCAGCUUGCAUUGAUUACGUCCCUGCCCUUUGUACACACCGCCCGUCGCUCCUACCGAUUGAAUGAUCCGAUGAAUACCUUGGAUUGAGAGUACGAAUGGGUUCGCUCAUUUCUGCUGCUCGAGAAGUGGAGUAAAUCUUAUCAUUUAGAGGAAGGAGAAGUCGUAACA